rnacentral:lncRNA from 1 species
CCGAGCGGUGGCCCCCCCCUUCCCGCUCCCGCUCUGGGGCCCCGCUCCGAGCGCCGCACUCGGCAAACAUACUCUCCGCGCUUUAGUUGCAUCUCUUGUUGGUAAGUACUGUAACCUGUGCUAGAUUUGAUCUAUAAAUCUAUGUAAACCCAACGCCAGGCUCGUCUGCCGUCAUUCCUUAACGAGCACGCGGGGGAGAAGGGCCCGGCCGGAGCCGCUCCGGCUCCCCGGCUCGGAGCCCGAGCGAGCGAGUGAGCGAGCGAGCGGCAGCGCUGGCCGUCGCCGCGCCUCGGGCCGAUCCGCAGACGCCGCYGACGCUGCCCCGGGCGGAGAUUUCCAGCGCCGCAUCUCUGGCGGUCGGAGCUGGAGACGUCGCAGUCCCGUGGACAUUUCCAAUGCCGGAUCGCUGGCAGUCGGAGCCGGAGAUGUCGCAGCCCGGUGGAGAUUUCCAGCGCUGGAUCACCAGCGGUCGGAGCCGGAGAGGUCACAGCCCCACGGAGAUUUCCAGCGCCACAUUGCCAGCAGUCAGAGCCAGAGACGUCGCGGCCCCAUGGAAAUUUCCAGUGCCAGAUUGCCGGCAGUCAGAGCCGGAGACGUCGUGGCCCUGUGGAGAUUUCCAGUGCCGGAUCUCCAGCAGUCGGAGCUGGAGACGCURCAGCCAGGCAGAGAUUUCCAUUGCCGGAUCUCCAGUGGUCGGAGCUGGAGACGCUGCAGCCUGGCAGAGAUUUCCAUCACCAGAUCUCCAGUGGUCGGAGCUGUAGAUGCUGCAGCCAGGCGGAGAUUUCCAUCACCAACGGUUGGAUCCAGAGACACCACAGUCCGGCAGAGAUUUCCAUCGCUGGUGGUCGGAGCCGGAGAUGCCACGGCUGGGCGGAGAUUUCCAUCGCUGGAUUGCCGACAGUUGGAGCUGGACACGCUGUGGCAGGACAGAGAUUUCCCUCUCCGGAUCACUGGUGGAUCUGGAGCAGCUCCACGUCGUGGUCAUGUUGGAAGGAGGUUGAUCUGCCUUGGGUGGAUCCGGAGUGAGUCUGAAUCCCUGGCCGGCAAUCGCAGGUUGAUCCRGAGACAGCAGGUCGGGUAGAUCCUCUAGCUCGGGUCACACGAGUGACAUUAGAUCCCGAAUCCAUCUGGAGACACUGGGUUGGGGGCAGAGCCUCCAUUUCCAACAGCAGAUCUGUUGCAAAUAAAUCUAUCUGGCUCGGGUGGAUCCA